rnacentral:rRNA from 1 species
AUAGGUCUCAGUUCGGAUUGUAGGCUGNAACCCGCCUGCAUGAAGUUGGAAUUGCUAGUAAUCGCGGAUCAGCAUGCCGCGGUGAAUACGUUCCCGGGCCUUGUACACACCGCCCGUCACACCAUGGGAGCCGGUAAUACCCGAAGUCAGUAGCCUAACCGCAAGGAGGGCGCUGCCGAAGGUAGGAUUGGCGACUGGGGUGAAGUCGUAACAAGGUAUC